UACGGGGGGGGGCAAGCGUUGUUCGGAAUUACUGGGCGUAAAGGGCUCGUAGGCGGCCCUCUCAGUCGGAUGUGAAAUCCCCAGGCUCAACUUGGGAACGGCAUCCGAUACUGGAGGGCUUGAAUUCGGGAGAGGGAUGCAGAAUUCCAGGUGUAGCGGUGAAAUGCGUAGAUAUCUGGAGGAAUACCGGUGGCGAAGGCGGCAUCCUGGACCGAGAUUGACUGCUGAGGAGC
rnacentral:rRNA from 1 species